UGGGGAAUUUUGGACAAUGGGGGAAACCCUGAUCCAGCCAUCCCGCGUGUGCGAUGAAGGCCUUCGGGUUGUAAAGCACUUUUGGCAGGAAAGAAACGUCAUGGGUUAAUACCCCGUGAAACUGACGGUACCUGCAGAAUAAGCACCGGCUAACUACGUGCCAGCAGCCGCGGUAAUACGUAGGGUGCAAGCGUUAAUCGGAAUUACUGGGCGUAAAGCGUGCGCAGGCGGUUCGGAAAGAAAGAUGUGAAAUCCCAGGGCUCAACUUUGGAACUGCAUUUUUAACUACCGGGCUAGAGUGUGUCAGAGGGAGGUAGAAUUCCGCGUGUAGCAGUGAAAUGCGUAGAUAUGCGGAGGAACACCGAUGGCGAAGGCAGCCUCCUGGGAUAACACUGACGCUCAUGCACGAAAGCGUGGGGAGCAAACAGG
rnacentral:rRNA from 1 species